GUCUGGCUAGUAUAGCAUAACACUGUCCACGACUACAAACUGGCUGAGUAGCCUCACGACUACCAUCACGACCUCCACUACCUCUACCUCUCGCACCUUCAGUAAAACCCCUACCUUCCACAACUGAAAUUGAAGUAGCUAUAAACACUCAGCGAGGAUAGUCCUUAGCCACAUGGCCAGUCUCAUCACAUACAUAGCAAACUCUAAACUUUCCCUAAU
rnacentral:lncRNA from 1 species